rnacentral:rRNA from 1 species
CAAUGGGGGAACCCUGAUGCAGCGACCCCGCGUGGAGGAAGAAGGUCUUCUUNACANUAAACUCNGGNAAANUGAGGAAGAUAAUGACGGUACUCAACUCCCAAGUGACGGCUAACUACGUGCCAGCAGCCGCGGUAAAACGUAGGUCACGAGCGUUGUCCGGAAUUACUGGGUGUAAAGGGAGCGCAGGCGGGAGAACAAGUUGGAAGUGAAAUCCAUGGGCUCAACCCAUGAACUGCUUUCAAAACUGUUUUUCUUGAGUAGUGCAGAGGUAGGCGGAAUUCCCGGUGUAGCGGUGGAAUGCGUAGAUAUCGGGAGGAACACCAGUGGCGAAGGCGGCCUACUGGGCACCAACUGACGCUGAGGCUCGAAAGUGUGGGUAGCAAACAGGAUUAGAUACCCUGGUAGUCCAAGGGCGAAUUC